rnacentral:misc_RNA from 1 species
UACGGAGGUUGCAAGCGUUGUUCGGAAUCACUGGGCGUAAAGGGAGCGCAGGCGGUCGGAUUAGUCCAAAGUGAAAGUCCGGGGCUCAACCUCGGAAGUGCUUUGGAUACUGCCCGACUUGAGUACGCGAGAGGUGAGCGGAAUUCCAGGUGUAGCGGUGAAAUGCGUAGAUAUCUGGAGGAACACCGGUGGCGAAAGCGGCUCACUGGCGCGAUACUGACGCUGAGGCUCGAAAGCGUGGGGAGCGAACAGG